UUUUUUGAUAAAAUAGUUGCUUGAUGGCCAUAUAUGCUAGAUAAAAAAAAACAUGUAUAUUUUUUACAACGUAGUGAUUUUUCAAAAAUAUAGAACCUGUCAGACAACCGCUUGAUCAUUCCAGACCGGUUUAACUAGCUAGGAAAUGAUCCUCUGCGGCCAUGAUGAUCUACGACUGUCACCUAGCCAUUACUCACGCUAUAAUCAGACGGGUUAUGGUUCCUCAACCAGGCUUCGGUUCCUGUCUCCUCAGUGAUUACGGAUUUUCAGAUAAGCGAUCAUACAGAACAGAUCCAGUUCAAGUAAGGUCGUGAUGCUCCUUGCUCCUCGGUCAAUUUCUUGCUUCUUCGUUCUUUUCCGAUGUGGUACAGAUCUGGUCCUAUUUUGUUCGAAGGUGUUUUUGUGCCGAGGAAAACGCUCUGUCCUCUUUUUGCUUCGAGCCCUGAUCUGAGAUGGCAGACAUUAAUGUUCUUGUGUUGUGCACGCAUUAGUGGCCAGCCCGAGUUUAACUGGCUAAUAAAAAUGUCCCCUCCAUUAAAAAUCCAUUUUAUUUAUGGAGGUUAUUUGCUGUUUGAUGUUUUUAGGAUUCUGAGGAACUUCUUCGUUCCAGAAGAUGACAAUAUGGCCUCUCUCCUCUUCCUCUUCCUCUUCGUUUAUCAUGAUUUCCUUUAAUCGCUUGUUCCACGAUGCAGAUUGCAGAGGUACUUUACUGGUGCCUUAUGGCUUUGAUAGAUGAAUCUAUGUUUUUCUGUGUCUAAAAUGAUCAUCAUCAAGUUUCAAGAACAAAAGGCAAAAAAAUUUCUUACAGCAACUGAAGUUUCAAA